UCCACGUUGUUGUCGAGGCCCAUCCACC
rnacentral:piRNA from 1 species